UUUACCUGCUUCUUCUUUGCCCACCUUUCAGAGAAACAUGGCAGCGGGAGCCCCGUGAAGCUGGUGAGAGGUAAGGCCAAAGGGUUGGAGAUGGUCCACAUCAGGCUGUUUCUUGACUCCGUGCUCAGCCUCAACCACCACUUCUCACCACUUGAACCACUACCCUGCAAGGAAGCCAACACUUUAACAGACUAGAAAACCAAGGGGGGGAGUGAGGUUCCGUUAUCCUUGCUGGAAGUCAAACGGCUGGUGCCCUGGCAAAUGGGCACAGUGACAUUACCUACGCAGUUUCUGGCAGCAACAACCUUUUUACACAGCAAAAGAUCGGAAACAACCCAAAUGCCCAUCACGGGGGACUGGUUACAUGGAUGGGUAGACCAUACAAUGCUCUGUGCAGUCUUCGAGAGAAAUGACGAACGCUUGAUGUAUGGAUAUGGAAUGCUUCCCAGAACACAGUGUUCAGAAGAAAAGGCAAGCACGGGGCAAUGUGUGUAAGAUCCUGUCGUUUUUUUGAAAAGGAUAGGGGAAAGAAUAUUCCAGACAGCGGGGGUUAUUUCUGGGAAGAAUAACUGCAGCUUAUCAAGAGCGAGAAUGGGAGGAAGACUUCAUCGGAUACGCUUUUGUCGUGGGUGAGUUUGGGGCUUUUUGAAGGCACGACCCAUUCAAAAUAAAGGAGUAAAAUGAAAA